CUUUGUCAAAAUGACACAAAAAUUGACACACACAUGUAUCUCAAUAAGAUCUACAAAAAAGUCAGUGCGGGCGUAUCUGUCAAAUGUACGGUUAAAGGGUUAUUUCGCAUUUUUUGCCGAUCCGCACACAUUGGAAUUUCGCUAACUCCUCCGAAGGCUUUCGUUCCACCGGCACCACAUUUGCUCAGGCCAAUCUACACCCCAUGGCCAUUAAAAGUUAUUCAAAUCAUGACGCUGCACCCCACGGUUUAGGUUCUAGGGGGCGCCAAAGAUAACCCUAAAUCCACAUAUUUAAAAGUCUUAUAACUUUUUAUUUUUGCCCUCACUGGCCUCCAAGUUUUCUAGGAUGAUGCAAUGUCCAGCCAUCAACACAUUUGUGAAGGAAUUUUUACUCCCCAAAAGAGCGCCCCCCAUGGCAGGAGAAAAAAGUCCAUUUUUUCUUGUCCCCUAAGGUGAAAAUACACAUUGUUGAGUGUAACACCUGUACGCUUUGGCAAAAUGACACAAAAAUUGACACACACAUGUAUCUCAAUAAGAUCUACGAAAAAGUCAAUGCGCGCGUAUCUGUCAAAUGUACGGUUAAAGGGUUAUUCCGCAUUUUUUGCCGAUCAGCACACAUUGGAAUUUCGCUAACUCCUCCGAAGGCUUUCAUUCCACCGGCACCACAUUUGCUCAGGCCAAUCUACACCCCAUGGCCAUUAAAAGUUAUUCAAAUCAUGACGCUGCAUCCCACGGUUUAGGUUCUAGGGGGCGCCAAAGAUAACCCUAAAAUCCACAUAUUUAAAAGUCUUAUAACUUUUUAUUUUUGUCCUCACUGGCCUCCAAGUUUUCUAGGAUGAUGCAAUGUCCAGCCAUCAACACAUUUGUGAAGGAAUUUUUACUCCCCAAAAGAGCGCCCCCCCAUGGCAGGAAAAAAAAGCCAAUUUUUUCUUGUCCCCUAAGGUGGAAAUUCACACUAUUGACUGUCACGCCUGUACGCUUUAUCAUAUUGACACAAAAAUUGACACACAUAUGUAUCUCAAUAAGAUCUACAAAAGAGUCGAUUUGCGCGUAUCUGUCAAAUGUACGGUUAAAGGGCUAUUUUGCAUUUUUUGCCGAUUCGCACACAUUGGAAUGUGGCUAACUCCUCCUAAGGCUUUCGUCCCACUGACACCAAAUUUGCUCAGGCCAAUCUACACCCCAUGGCCAUUCAAAGUUGUAAAAAUCAUGACGCUGCACCCCACGGUUUACGUUCUAGGGGGCGCCAAAGAUAACCCAAAAAUCCACAUUCUUCAAAGAAUCCACAUCCCCCCCCCCCCCCCCCCCCCAUAUGGCAGGAGAAAAAGUUAAGUUUUUCCUGCCCAUCGCUCAAUGGCUCAAUCGCAUCGCUCUCCAGGCAACACCGUAAGGAGGAGCAACCUGCCAUUUCGAUAUAUCAUAGCUGUGUUUGUGCCCUCACUCAUGGUCCAGACUUUUUUCAAAUAGGACAUGAAGUUUGUCUGCAGCGAGUGUUUUGGUAGAAACUGCGCCUCCCAUUCAUUAUAAUAGGAAAUGACCACAGACAAGUGCGCACACCAUCUUUGGAUCUUGAGUGUGACGCGAUCGGGAGGGGGAGGCGGUCGCACUGGGGGCGGCGCGACACGGCUCGGGCCCGACAGUGCCCCAACGGGGUCCUAGUUUGUUAUUAUUAUUUUUCCUCCCCUUUGAACUGGAAAAUGGCCCACUUCCCACUGGCGAAAACUCAUGAAAUUUGGCAGGACGACCGGGCCUGGUGAAAAAUUUGAUAUUCCGAAGUCGCCCAAACAAGAAAAUGCAAAAUGGCUCCAUAGCGCCCCCUAAGGUGAAAAUUCAGACUAUUCACUGUCACGCCUGUACGCUUUGUCAAAAUGACACAAAAAUUGACACACACAUGUAUCUCAGUAAGAUCUACAAAAAAGUCAGUGCGGGCGUAUCUGUCAAAUGUACGGUUAAAGGGUUAUUUCGCAUUUUUUGCCGAUCCGCACACAUUGGAAUUUCGCUAACUCCUCCGAAGGCUUUCGUUCCACCGGCACCACAUUUGCUCAGGCCAAUCUACACCCCAUGGCCAUUAAAAGUUAUUCAAAUCAUGACGCUGCACCCCACGGUUUAGGUUCUAGGGGGCGCCAAAAAUAACCCUAAAAUCCACAUAUUUAAAAGUCUUAUAACUUUUUAUUUUUGCCCUCACUGGCCUCCAAGUUUUCUAGGAUGAUGCAAUGUCCAGCCAUCAACACAUUUGUGAAGGAAUUUUUACUCCCCAAAAGAGCGCCCCCCCAUGGCAGGAGAAAAAAGUCAAUUUUUUCUUGUCCCCUAAGGUGAAAAUACACAUUGUUGAGUGUAACAUCUGUACGCUUUGGCAAAAUGACACAAAAAUUGACACACACAUGUAUCUCAAUAAGAUCUACGAAAAAGUCAAUGCGCGCGUAUCUGUCAAAUGUACGGUUAAAGGGUUAUUCUGCAUUUUUUGCCGAUCCGCACACAUUGGAAUUUCGCUAACUCCUCCGAAGGCUUUCGUUCCACCGGCACCACAUUUGCUCAGGCCAAUCUACACCCCAUGGCCAUUAAAAGUUAUUCAAAUCAUGACGCUGCAUCCCACGGUUUUGGUUCUAGGGGGCGCCAAAGAUAACCCUAAAAUCCACAUAUUUAAAAGUCUUAUAACUUUUUAUUUUUGUCCUCACUGGCCUCCAAGUUUUCUAGGAUGAUGCAAUGUCCAGCCAUCAACACAUUUGUGAAGGAAUUUUUACUCCCCAAAAGAGCGCCCCCCCAUGGCAGGAGAAAAAAGUCAAUUUUUUCUUGUCCCCUAAGGUGGAAAUUCACACUAUUGACUGUCACGCCUGUACGCUUUAUCAUAUUGACACAAAAAUUGACACAUCUAUGUAUCUCAAUAAGAUCUACAAAAAAGUCAAUUCGCGCGUAUCUGUCAAAUGUACGGUUUAAGGGCUAUUUUGCAUUUUUUGCCGAUUCGCACACAUUGGAAUGUGGCUAACUCCUCCUAAGGCUUUCGUCCCUCUGACACCAAAUUUGGUCAGGCCAAUCUACACUCCAUGGCCAUUCAAAGUUGUAAAAAUCAUGACGCUGCACCCCACGGUUUACGUUCUAGGGGGCGCCAAAAAUGACCCAAAAAUCCACAUUCUUAAAAGAAUCCACAUCCCCCCCCCUAUGGCAGGAGAAAAAGUCAAGUUUUUCCUGCCCAUCGCUCAAUGGCUCAAUCGCAUCGCUCUCCAGGCAACACCGUAAGGAGGAGCAACCUGGCAUUUCGAUAUAUCAUAGCUGUGUUUGUGCCCUCACUCAUGGUCCAGACUUUUUUCAAAUAGGACAUGAAGUUUGUCUGCAGCGAGUGUUUUGGUAGAAACUGCGCCUCCCAUUCAUUAUAAUGGGAAAUGACCACAGACAAGUGCGCACACCAUCUUUGGUUCUUGAGUGUGACUCGAUCGGGACGGGGAGGCGGUCGCACUGGGGGCGGCGCGACGCGGCUCGGGCCCGACAGUGCCCCACCGGGGCCCUAGUUAGGGCCCGAGCGUAGCUGCUAAGCAGCUGCGAGAGCCCUCUUGUUCCUGUAGUUUCCUUCUUUUGUUAUUAUUAUUAGGGCCCGAGCGUAGCUGCUAAGCAGCUGCGAGAGCCCUCUUGUUCCUGUAGUUUCCUUCUUUUGUUAUUAUUAUUAUUUUUCCUCCCCUUUGAACUGGAAAAUGGCCCACUUCCCACUGGCGAAAACUCAUGAAAUUUGGCAGGACGACCGGGCCUGGUGAAAAAUUUGAUAUUCUGAAGUCGCCCAAACAAGAAAAUGCAAAAUGGCUCCAUAGCGCCCCCUAAGGUGAAAAUUCACACUAUUCACUGUCACGCCGGUACGCUUUGUCAAAAUGACACAAAAAUUGACACACACAUGUAUCUCAAUAAGAUCUACAAAAAAGUCAGUGCGGGCGUAUCUGUCAAAUGUACGGUUAAAGGGUUAUUGCGCAUUUUUUGCCGAUCCGCACACAUUGGAAUUUCGCUAACUCCUCCGAAGGCUUUCGUUCCACCGGCACCACAUUUGCUCAGGCCAAUCUACACCCCAUGGCCAUUAAAAGUUAUUCAAAUCAUGAUGCUGCACCCCACGGUUUAGGUUCUAGGGGGCGCCAAAGAUAACCCUAAAAUCCACAUAUUUCAAAGUCUUAUAACUUUUUAUUUUUGCCCUCACUGGCCUCCAAGUUUUCUAGGAUGAUGCAAUGUCCAGCCAUCAACACAUUUGUGAAGGAAUUUUUACUCCCCAAAAGAGCGCCCCCCCAUGGCAGGAGAAAAAAGUCCAUUUUUUCUUGUCCCAUAAGGUGAAAAUUCACACUAUUGACUGUCACGCCUGUACGCUUUGUCAAAAUUACACAAAAAUUGACACACACAUGUAUCUCAAUAAGAUCUACAAAAAAGUCAGUGCUGGCGUAUCUGUCAAAUGUACGGUUAAAGGGUUAUUGCGCAUUUUUUGCCGAUCCGCACACAUUGGAAUUUCGCUAACUCCUCCGAAGGCUUUCGUUCCACCGGCACCACAUUUGCUCAGGCCAAUCUACACCCCAUGGCCAUUAAAAGUUAUUCAAAUCAUGACGCUGCACCCCACGGUUUAGGUUCUAGGGGGCGCCAAAGAUAACCCUAAAAUCCACAUAUUUAAAAGUCUUAUAACUUUUUAUUUUUGUCCUCUCUGGCCUCCAAGUUUUCUAGGAUGAUGCAAUGUCCAGCCAUCAACACAUUUGUGAAGGAAUUUUUACUCCCCAAACGAGCGCCCCCCCAUGGCAGGAGAAAAAAGUCCAUUUUUUCUUGUCCCAUAAGGUGAAAAUACACAUUGUUGACUGUCAUACCUGUAUGCUUUGUCAUAUUGACACAAAAUUUGACACACACAUGUAUCUCAAUAAGAUCUACGAAAAAGUCAAUGCACGCGUAUCUGUAAAAUGUACGGUUAAAGGGCUAUUUUGCAUUUUUUGCCGAUUAGCACACAUUGGAAUGUGGCUAACUCCUCCUAAGGCUUUCGUCCCACUGACACCAAAUUUGCUCAGGCCAAUCUACACCCCAUGGCCAUUCAAAGUUUUAAAAAUCAUGACGCUGCACCCCACGGUUUACGUUCUAGGGGGCGCCAAAGAUGACCCGAAUAUCCACAUUCUUAAAAGAAUCCACAUCCCUACCCCCCCCCCCCCCCCCAUCCCCCAUCCCCCA